GAAAUUGGUCCUUCAGUAAAUUGGAACACCAUGAAGAUGGUAUUGUUUAUGAUUGUGGUCGGCUCUUUCCUGAGCCUCCUUACCCUAGAGAGGUAAAAUUGAUGGAAUCUGAUCCAAAUAAAAGGCGAGGACUAUUUUUAAGUAUAGAGUGUAUAAAUACUCUGAAUGAAGGUCUCCUACUAGAGCAUCCAUUUGCAGCAUGC
rnacentral:misc_RNA from 1 species